rnacentral:rRNA from 1 species
AUACGUAGGUGACAAGCGUUAUCCGGAUUUACUGGGUGUAAAGGGCGUGUAGGCGGCGGUGUAAGUCUGGAGUGAAAGUCCCGCAUUCAAUGUGGGAAUUGCUUUGGAUACUGCAGUGCUAGAGUGCGGAAGAGGUAAGUGGAAUUCCCAGUGUAGCGGUGAAAUGCGUAGAGAUUGGGAGGAACACCAGUGGCGAAGGCGACUUACUGGGCCGUAACUGACGCUGAGGCGCGAAAGCGUGGGGAGCGAACAGGAUUAGAUACCCUGGUAGUCCACGCGGUAAACGAUGAAUGCUAGGUGUUGCGGGUAUCGACCCCUGCAGUGCCGGAGUAAACACAAUAAGCAUUCCGCCUGGGGAGUACGGCCGCAAGGUUGAAACUCAAAUGAAUUGGCGGGG